rnacentral:rRNA from 1 species
AUUGAACGCUGGCGGCAGGCCUAACACAUGCAAGUCGAACGAGUGGCGGACGGGUGAGUAAUGUCUGGGAAACUGCCAGAUGGAGGGGGAUAACUACUGGAAACGGUAGCUAAUACCGCAUACCAUCAGAUGUGCCCAGAUGGGAUUAGCGUGUUGGUGGGGUAACGGCUCACCCAGGCGACGAUCCCUAGCUGGUCUGAGAGGAUGACCAGCAACCCGGUAACGUAGACACGUUGCAGACUCUUACGGGAGGCAGCAGUGGGGAAUAUUGCACAAGGGGCGCAAGCCUGAUGCAGCCAUGCCGCGUGUAUGAAGAAGGCCUUCGGUUUGUAAAGUACUUUCAGCGAGGAGGCGUUACCCGCAGAAGAAGCACCGGCUAACUCCGUGUCAGCAGCCGCGGUAAUAC